CACGUAGGGCGCAAGCGUUGUCCGGAAUUAUUGGGCGUAAAGAGCGUGUAGGCGGCUUGGUAGGUCCGCUGUGAAAACUCGAGGCUCAACCUCGAGAUGUCGGCGGAAACCACUUGGCUAGAGUCCGGAAGAGGAGAGUGGAAUUCCUGGUGUAGCGGUGAAAUGCGCAGAUAUCAGGAAGAACACCUAUGGCGAAGGCAGCUCUCUGGGACGGUAUUGACGCUGAGACGCGAAAGCGUGGGGAGCGAACAGG
rnacentral:rRNA from 1 species